rnacentral:lncRNA from 1 species
AUUUUCACUUCCAUUAGAUAUUGAACUAAUCUACGUAGACUAUUACAGACUCUCCUCUCACAGACGUUUACACAUUUUGUACUCAGAUGGUAUGUGCUCUAAAGAGGUUUUCUUGAGGUUUGCAUUUCUGAACUCAGUCUCUAAAUUUUCCUUUCCACUAAUCUCUAUUCAACGUCAUAUACUUUGCCAGUUGCUCUGGGAGAAGUCAUGGACAUUUAAACAGCUUAUCAUGCACUUCAAGGUUAUAUGGCAAAAUAAUGAGGAAAGUGCCUUAAGAGGUAGGAAGUAGACUCUCAUCCCAACCCUUGGUAUGCCCUGUUAUGAACAGUUAAAAGACUAGAAUCAAAGUGGUAAAUGUGAGACUGAUAGUAAUAUGAGGCUUAAGAAAAUUAAGUCGACUUAAUUACUAGAAUUCUUUGAGAACAGUCACAUUGGAACCAGUUACAAGUCACUUGACCACACAAAAUACAGCAGUGUCAGAAGUACAUAAAGCACACUGUAGAUACAAAUUCUUCUUGGCCAUCCAUAUUUAGGUAUUAUCAUUCUGUAGGUUCUUCACUAGAAAAAGUGGUUAAGCGUGGCUCUGCAGAAUACCACAGUCCCAAGAAAGCAAAUUUCAUUCCUUCAUUAAUUGGUCUCCACCAAUGGUCACUUGGGGAAACCAGCAAAAUGUAAGCAAUCUGGAGGUGAAAAGAGGACUAUUUUCACUAAUCGAAAUAUAAAUACUGAGUUAAGUCAACUUAUCUGUCAAUUAAAUAAAACUCAAUGUAUACAUCUGGUUUGUGAGUCACAUGGAGCUAGACCUUUUGGAGGGACAAAUUCUAGGGCUAGAUUAGAACCUCUUGGUUUAAGAACCAAGGAUCAACUAUGGAACCCAUUGUAUUUGUUAAACACAGAAAACAGACUUUUUCUAACCCUUUACAUUCCUGAGAUACCUGUCCUAUUGCCUUCAUAAAUCUCAUAAAUGCUCGAUACCACCAUGAGAAUUAUCUCUAUAAAAUAUGGUAAAGCAACCUGAAAAAUUUUCAGUCAUUUAUAAAGGCCGGGAAGUAGAGAGUAUCAAAGCCAUGUUGAGAUAUGUAUUGCUGGUUUCCAUGGUGAUUAAGUACCAAGGCUCCCAAAUCUUGAAUACUUUUCUGCUCUCAUCCCAGGCUGGACUUACCCCAGUCCCUUGCCAACCCAACCCAUUCUGCUUACUCAUGAAGCCUUUGCACCGCUCUCCUUCCAGGAUCUCCUGGGCUGACUGUACAGGGCACAACAAACAGGCCAGCCCCACCUCCCAUAAUGUCCCCUAGCACCAAAAGCAACCACUUCUUAAAAUUAGGUGGGAAAUGGUUGAUCCAAACCCUUACUUUGCAGCCUACCAUAUGUGAAAUGUCAAUAUCUACUGCAUAUACACCAUACCCCCUCCAGACACUCAGUGACUUUUCCCACAUCAGCCUUGCAGUAUGUUGAUUCUGUGCUUAUCAAAAUCAUAUUUUUGGACUUUUAGGGUUGCUUGUGAAUAAAUGAAUCCAUGUCAAAUCUGUUAAAGGUCUACUGUACUUAGAAAAAAAGACAUCUAUAAAUUAGGAGUUGAAAUGAUUUACAUAAAAAAUUAAAAGGACAAAAACUUACCUUAACAUCAUUACUUGAAAGGGAAGAUACAAACACGCGGUAGUGUAAUCCAUAUUUUUCAGCAUGUGCUCGGCAACAUUAAAUGCAAUCUACCAUUCUAGAUAUUAUUUUGGAUUAUAGGCUAAGAGGAGGUUUGUAAAAGUGGUCUGAUGGUUUAGUUCCUUCUUUAGCAUU